rnacentral:rRNA from 1 species
UAGGGAAUCUUCCGCAAUGGACGCAAGUCUGACGGAGCAACGCCGCGUGAGUGAAGAAGGAUUUCGGUUCGUAAAACUCUGUUGUUAGAGAAGAACAGCGCAUAGAGUAACUGUUAUGCGUGUGACGGUAUCUAACCAGAAAGCCACGGCUAACUACGUGCCAGCAGCCGCGGUAAUACGUAGGUGGCAAGCGUUGUCCGGAUUUAUUGGGCGUAAAGCGAGCGCAGGCGGUCAAUUAAGUCUGAUGUGAAAGCCCCCGGCUCAACCGGGGAGGGUCAUUGGAAACUGGUUGACUUGAGUGCAGAAGAGGAGAGUGGAAUUCCAUGUGUAGCGGUGAAAUGCGUAGAUAUUAGGAAGAACACCAGUGGCGAAGGCGACUUUCUGGACGAACACUGACGCUGAGGCGCGAAAGCCAGGGGAGCGAACGGG